rnacentral:lncRNA from 1 species
AGAUUAGCCGGCCAAAGUCGGGCAUGAUCAUUUGAUAGUUAGAUUUUUAAGUAUGAUCAUGUUAAUGGUGGGACCUAAUUAGGGCUUGCAGAGAAGAUCAAAGUUAACUGAAGAAUUUCUGAGGCUAAAUCGACUACUAAAAAUUGUUUAGUAAAAUAAUUGGUUAAAGAAUCUAUCCAUAGAUGCACGUGGGUGAGCUGGCCAA